GGGUGCAUGCAUAGUUCGAUCAU
rnacentral:siRNA from 1 species